rnacentral:SRP_RNA from 1 species
UUGUGCUAGGUGGGGAGCUAGCGGUGCCCUUUUCCCGAAAUCCGCUUUAUGCGGGGCUGAAUUCCCUUUAAAGGGUUAUUGUCCUGAAAAAUAUAGCCAUUUCCUACCGGCCACCGCGCAACAGACGGUCAUGAACCUCGUCAGGUCCGGAAGGAAGCAGCGAUAAGUGAUGCGGUCUGUGUCGUGGAUUGAUCCCGGUUAACCUGAUGGCAUACGUUUUCAGAUAAAAUUCGAUAAAGGGUGCACAA